AUUCCAGCUCCAAUAGUGUAUAUUAAAGUUGUUGCAGUUAAAAAGCUCGUAGUUGGAUUUCUGGCGGGAGCGAUCGGUCCUUCACUCAGUGUUGGAACCUGAUUGUCUCCUGCCAUCCAUGGAGAAAACUUAUCUGGCAUUAAGUUGUCGGGUAGGCAAUCUCCAUCUUUUACUGUGAAAAAAUUAGAGUGUUCAAAGCAGGCUUAUGCCGUUGAAUAUAUUAGCAUGGAAUAAUAAGAUAGGACCUUGGUUCUAUUUUGUUGGUUUCUAGAGCUGAGGUAAUGAUUAAUAGGGAUAGUUGGGGGCAUUCGUAUUUAACUGUCAGAGGUGAAAUUCUUGGAUUUGUUAAAGACGGACUACUGCAAAAGCAUUUGCCAAGGAUGUUUUCAUCG
rnacentral:rRNA from 1 species